CGGGGCGUAGCGCAGCCCGGUAGCGCACUUGACUGGGGGUCAAGGGGUCGCUGGUUCGAAUCCAGUCGCCCCGA
rnacentral:tRNA from 2 species